rnacentral:rRNA from 1 species
AUACGAAAGGUGCAAGCGUUGUUCGGAUUUACUGGGCGUAAAGAGAGUGUAGGUUGUUUAUUAAGUCGGAUGUGAAAUCCCGGGGCUCAACCUCGGAACUGCAUUCGAUACUGAUAGGCUAGAGUUUGGGAGGGGUAAGCGGAAUUCCGUGUGUAGCAGUGAAAUGCGUAGAUAUACGGAGGAACACCUGAGGCGAAGGCGGCUUACUGGACCAAUACUGACACUGAGACUUGAAAGCGUGGGUAGCAAACAGGAUUAGAAACCCCAGUAGUCC